GGACGGGGCCUCCGUUGAGAUUAGACGGAGCCGUUUUCCUCAACUCUGGCUGGCAUUGAUCCCUUUGGCGAGGGCGAAGGACCCUCCACUUUCCUGGUGCUCCACAAUUACUCUCCCACAACGCUGGAUGUGUCACUGGCAGAGAGAGAAGGGCUGUCCAAAUGAAGAUGGAGGACAAGGAGGAAGAGGAGAAUGAGGAGGAGGAAGAGGAGGAGACUGCAGAGGUCGAUGGAAUGAGGAUCUUUAUCGCCAUGGCAGCGGCUCCAACAGAGUCAAGACAUCGACGGUGCAUCAGAGGAAGAUGUUAUUGAAGUCCAAACAGGGAGGCUUUCACAAGCCAGUCAGCCAUGAAUACUUUCUAAUUAAUACUACCACUUUUCUAUUUUUGUGAGUGAUUGACAGAAUGUGGG
ensembl:lncRNA